AUGGGGAAGAGGAAGGCGAAAACAAAACCACCUCCAAAGAAACGAAUGGAUAAGCUUGACACUGUUUUUAGCUGUCCUUUCUGCAAUCACGGUUCCAGUGUCGAGUGUCGCAUUGAUAUGAAGAACUUGAUAGGGGAAGCUUCUUGCGGGAUAUGUCAGGAGAGCUUUAGCACUACCAUCACAGCUUUAUCCGAGGCAAUAGACAUAUACAGCGAAUGGAUUGAUGAAUGUGAACGGGUGAACGCUGUUGAAGAUGAUGGUACUUAG